AUACGGAAGGUCCGGGCGUUAUCCGGAUUUAUUGGGUUUAAAGGGAGCGCAGGCGGAGAUGCAAGCGUGACGUCAAAUUUCGGGGCUCAACCCCGUCUCGCGUCGCGAACUGCGUCCCUUGGUUGCGGGAAGGGGAGGCGGAACUCGUGGUAUAGCGGUGAAAUGCAUAGAUAUCACGAAGAACUCCGAUCGCGAAGGCAGCCUUCCGGCCCGUCAACGACGCUCAUGCUCGAAGGUGCGGGUAUCAAACAGGAUUAGAUACCCUGGUAGUCCGCACAGUAAACGAUGGACACCCGCGGUUUGGCCUAUACGGCUGAGCCGCCAAGCGAAAGCGUUAAGUGUCCCACCUGGGGAGUACGCCGGCAACGGUGAAACUCAAAUGAAUUGGCGGGG
rnacentral:rRNA from 1 species